rnacentral:rRNA from 1 species
UACGGGGGGGGUAAGCGUUGUUCGGAAUUACUGGGCGUAAAGGGCUCGUAGGCGGCCAACUAAGUCAGACGUGAAAUCCCUCGGCUUAACCGGGGAACUGCGUCUGAUACUGGAUGGCUAGAGUUUGGGAGAGGGAUGCGGAAUUCCAGGUGUAGCGGUGAAAUGCGUAGAUAUCUGGAGGAACACCGGUGGCGAAGGCGGCAUCCUGGACCAACACUGACGCUGAGGAGCGAAAGCCAGGGGAGCAAACGGG